UAAAAAAGAAACCGAAGUAUACACAACCAGAUUAUAAAUAUUAAAGAUUCACGUGAUUCGUCUGUGACUGUCACGCAAGAUAACAGCGACACAUGGUCUCUAGGUGAUCAGCAAAGACGAUUCCGAAACCGUAUUUUGAAAGUUUCCAGCCAGUUGGAUGUAGCAAUUCAAAGUGAACGGUUGUGGUACCUGAAAAUAUAACAAGUUUGAAUUCUUCUCAUCGUGAGUUUUUCCAACAAGAAGUACACGCAAACCAACAAAUUGUGGACAAUACAUUCUUGACUUCAAAGACUUCGCAACAUACAGUUUUUUUCUUUUUUCAAUAGAAAACGACUUGUACGACUUUGUGUUUAUGGUANUAAUCGAAGUAUUGCUCGUCAUUGUUUACGUGCGUGUCGUCGAUUGCAGGUCAGUUACGUGUAGUGAUUUACAUUCACCUUUCUUUAACGCAAAAGUUAGAGUAAAAUAAAAAAAGACCCAAAAAUUUAAAAUGACAAGAGUUCCUUUGGAAAAAUAAAAAUAAGAAGAGUAAUCAUAAGACAAUAUAAAAAUCGGAAAGAUCGAGAAAAAGCAACGCCUAUAUAUAUCGUACCAACGUGACAAAUAGCAACAAAAAAUUGAUUCUGGAGAACGACGACGAGACUGCAAUAGAAAAACAGUACAGUAUACUAAUAAGAAAGGAAACGAGUAUUACAUGAGUGAUUUACUAUGAUGUAAAAAGUUGCGGAAGUAUUCAUUUAAACAAAAAUACUGGGUAAGAAGAACGUUAUUACGCGUGAAAACUAUGGAGCGUGAUUCCCGACAUUUUCGACACCUAUUACUGUUCUUUUUUGAUCAAGCCAAACGAGGCAGUGACGCUUAUCAUCUUAUUAGAAAAACUUAUCNUGAGUCUGCACCAGCGAUUGACACAUGCCGCAGGUGGUUUCGCCGAUUCGAAGGUGGCGAUUUUGACUUACAACUUUUUAAUUUAACUGGGAAAAGAAAGGUUAAAAAUGAAGACUUGAAAAAACUCUUAAAUAAAAAUCCAAAUAUAACACAAAAAGAAAUGGCUAGACAAUUAAAUGUUUCACAAAAGACUAUUUCGAUAAAGUUAAAAACCAUGAGAUUAAAUCAAAGAAUCCAAUUUGACGUCGCUAGUCAAACUAGUAGUCUUUUAAAUUUAAGUCGGAAAAGAAAGGUUAAAGAUGAAGACUUUCAGAAACUCUUAACUAAAAAUUUAAAUAUAACACGCGCAGAAAUGGCUAGACAAUUAAAUGUUUCAAGCUCGACUAUUUAUAGAUAUUUGAAAGUCAAGACACAAUUCCAAAACCAAAG